rnacentral:rRNA from 1 species
GGAAUCUUCCACAAUGGGCGCAAGCCUGAUGGAGCAACGCCGCGUGAGUGAAGAAGGUCUUCGGAUCGUAAAACUCUGUUGUUAGAGAAGAACAUGCAGGAGAGUAACUGUUCAUUCGAUGACGGUAUCUAACCAGCAAGUCACGGCUAACUACGUGCCAG